UACGUAGGGACCAAGCGUUGUUCGGAAUUACUGGGCGUAAAGUGUGCGCAGGUGGCCGCGCAAGUCGAGUGUGAAAUCCCCGGGCUUAACUUGGGAAUUGCGCUCGAAACUACUUGGCUCGAGUGUGGCAGAGGAAGGUGGAAUUCCAGGUGUAGCGGUGAAAUGCGUAGAGAUCUGGAGGAACACCGAUGGCGAAGGCAGCCUUCUGGGCCAACACUGACGCUCAUGCACGAAAGCGUGGGGAGCAAACAGG
rnacentral:rRNA from 1 species